AUAGUACCGAAGUUCCUGAUUCCACGCUGCCAAGAAAAGCCUCUAGUGAGAUGUAAGGUGCCCGUACCGCAAACCGACACAGGUAGGCGAGGAGAGAAUCCUAAGGUGUGCGAGAGAACUCUCGUUAAGGAACUCGGCAAAAUGACCCCGUAACUUCGGGAGAAGGGGUGCUUUUUAGGGUGAAUAGCACGGAAAAGCCGCAGUGAAUAGGCCCAGGCGACUGUUUAGCAAAAACACAGGUCUCUGCGAAGCCGCAAGGCGAAGUAUAGGGGCUGACACCUGCCCGGUGCUGGAAGGUUAAGGGGAGAGGUUAGCGCAAGCGAAGCUUUGAACCGAAGCCCCAGUAAACGGCGGCCGUAACUAUAACGGUCCUAAGGUAGCGAAAUUCCUUGUCGGGUAAGUUCCGACCCGCACGAAAGGUGUAACGAUCUGGGCACUGUCUCAACGAGAGACUCGGUGAAAUUAUAGUACCUGUGAAGAUGCAGGUUACCCGCGACAGGACGGAAAGACCCCGUGGAGCUUUACUGCAGCCU
rnacentral:rRNA from 1 species